UUUCCGUAGGUGAACCUGCGGAAGGAUCAUUAUUGAAAAAGACAAGACGCCCCGCUUUUUCGUAAAAUGGGUUCAAUACCCACAACCGUGUAUACCUUACCUUUUGUUGCUUUGGCAGGCCGCCUCCGGGCGUUGGCUUCGGCUGACAGCGCCUGCCAGAGGACCCAAACUCUGUGUUUAGUGAUGUCUGAGUAAUAUAUAAUAUUUUAAAACUUUCAACAACGGAUCUCUUGGUUCUG
rnacentral:misc_RNA from 1 species